AGAGUUUGAUCCUGGCUCAGAAUGAACGCUGGCGGCAUGCCUAACACAUGCAAGUCGAACGAAGGCUUCGGCCUUAGUGGCGCACGGGUGCGUAACGCGUGGGAAUCUGCCCUUGGGUUCGGAAUAACAGUUAGAAAUGACUGCUAAUACCGGAUGAUGUCGUAAGACCAAAGAUUUAUCGCCCAAGGAUGAGCCCGCGUAGGAUUAGCUAGUUGGUGAGGUAAAAGCUCACCAAGGCGACGAUCCUUAGCUGGUCUGAGAGGAUGAUCAGCCACACUGGGACUGAGACACGGCCCAGACUCCUACGGGAGGCAGCAGUGGGGAAUAUUGGACAAUGGGCGAAAACCUGAUCCAGCAAUGCCGCGUGAGUGAUGAAGGCCUUAGGGUUGUAAAGCUCUUUUACCCGGGAUGAUAAUGACAGUACCGGGAGAAUAAGCCCCGGCUAACUCCGUGCCAGCAGCCGCGGUAAUACGGAGGGGGCUAGCGUUAUUCGGAAUUACUGGGCGUAAAGCGCACGUAGGCGGCUUUGUAAGUUAGAGGUGAAAGCCCAGAGCUCAACUCUGGAAUUGCCUUUAAGACUGCAUCGCUUGAAUCAUGGAG
rnacentral:rRNA from 1 species